rnacentral:tRNA from 1 species
GCCGGAGUGGCGGAACUGGUAGACGCACUGGACUCAAAAUCCAGCGGGACUCUAAUCCCGUGUCGGUUCGACUCCGACCUCCGGCA